rnacentral:rRNA from 1 species
GAUGAACGCUAGCGGCAGGCCUAACACAUGCAAGUCGAGGGGUAAGGUAGCAAUACCUGAGACCGGCGCACGGGUGCGUAACGCGUAUGCAAUCUACCUUUUACAGAGGGAUAGCCCAGAGAAAUUUGGAUUAAUACCUCAUAGUGUUAUGAUAUGGCAUCAUUUUAUAACUAAAGUUCCAACGGUAAAAGAUGAGCAUGCGUCCUAUUAGCUAGAUGGUAAGGUAACGGCUUACCAUGGCUACGAUAGGUAGGGGUCCUGAGAGGGAGAUCCCCCACACUGGUACUGAGACACGGACCAGACUCCUACGGGAGGCAGCAGUGAGGAAUAUUGGACAAUGGGCGCAAGCCUGAUCCAGCCAUGCCGCGUGCAGGAAGACGGUCCUAUGGAUUGUAAACUGCUUUUGUACGGGAAGAAACACUCCUACGUGUAGGAGCUUGACGGUACCGUAAGAAUAAGGAUCGGCUAACUCCGUGCCAGCAGCCG